rnacentral:rRNA from 1 species
AGUGAAUAAUUCAACGGCCGCGGUACCCUAACCGUGCAAAGGUAGCAUAAUCACUUGUCUAUUAAUUGUAGACCAGCAUGAAUGGCAAAAUGAGGGUCUAACUGUCUCUUAUAGUAAAUCAAUUAAACUGAUCUCCUAGUAAAAAAGCUAGAAUAACCACAUAAGACCAGAAGACCCUGUGAAGCUUAAACUACACUAUUAAACCCCAUAAUAGCUACUUUCGGUUGGGGCGACCUUGGAAAAAAAAAGAACUUCCAAACAAUGACUAUAAACCACACACAUUCGGCCUACAAGCCCUUACUUGACCCAGUAAAACUGAUAACCGGACCAAGUUACUCCAGGGAUAACAGCGCCAUCUUCUUCAAGAGCCCAUAUCAAAAAGAAGGUUUACGACCUCGAUGUUGGAUCAGGACAUCCUAA